rnacentral:misc_RNA from 1 species
AGUCAUCAACCCCUCCGUUUCGUGCGGACCGGGUUGGAUUGGGGGCUCUGCUGCCGUGAGGCGGCUCCCCUCAAAUGCAUCGGUUGGGCCUGUGGGUCGAACUCGACUGGGCGUUGUACCAUCCUCGCUCGACAGAGACGUUCCCCUCUCGUGCCCUUCCCCGACCUGCCCCCUAAGAGUGGCGGUCACAAGCAAAAAAGCUUUGAAAU